GUAUAUUUCUUCUUUACGGCUGUUAGCUUGCUCCCAUUACACCUUUGGCUUCUCUUUCUGGUUCACAUACAUGUAUUUGAUCAACAUCUAUUUUAGUUUUAUUAUAAUUUUCUUGCUUGAAACUAUUUUGAUGCUUUAAAUUGAUGGCAUAAUUAUCUUCUUCCAAUAAAAAUGUGUAUGCUAAACAUUUGGUACGAUUUCUGUAGUUUCAUUAUAUUUCAGUUCUCCAAACCCUAUACUAGUUUCUCUACUACCAAACCUUUUUGUAAUUUUUGUGCUUGAUUUGCCAUUGGAAUGAUUUUAUGAUGAUCAGAUAUGUUUUGAAACUUUGAAAUUCAAAGUUUAAAGCUUCCUGUUCAUCUUGUACCUUGUUUCCUCCCUCUUUUGUUCCUAGGUUUUCUUUCAGCAACAAAUUUACAUUUUGCUAUGGUUAUUUUCUAUUGUUGGCUUUGAAUUGAGCUAAAAUCAGUCUUGAUUGAUGGCUUUUGGGUUUGAAUUUUUAGGGUGUAUCAAGUUUCUA
rnacentral:misc_RNA from 1 species